rnacentral:rRNA from 1 species
UAGCGUUGCUCGGAAUCACUGGGCGUAAAGGGUGCGUAGGCGGGUCUUUAAGUCAGGGGUGAAAUCCUGGAGCUCAACUCCAGAACUGCCUUUGAUACUGAAGAUCUUGAGUUCGGGAGAGGUGAGUGGAACUGCGAGUGUAGAGGUGAAAUUCGUAGAUAUUCGCAAGAACACCAGUGGCGAAGGCGGCUCACUGGCCCGGUACUGACGCUGAGGUGCGAAAGCGUGGGGAGCAAACAGG